rnacentral:rRNA from 1 species
GCGACUAAGCGUACACGGUGGAUGCCCUGGCAGUCAGAGGCGAUGAAGGACGUGCUAAUCUGCGAUAAGCGCCGGUAAGGUGAUAUGAACCGUUAUAACCGGCGAUUUCCGAAUGGGGAAACCCAGUGUGAUUCGUCACACUAUCAUUAACUGAAUCCAUAGGUUAAUGAGGCGAACCGGGGGAACUGAAACAUCUAAGUACCCCGAGGAAAAGAAAUCAACCGAGAUUCCCCCAGUAGCGGCGAGCGAACGGGGAGGAGCCCAGAGCCUGAAUCAGCAUGUGUGUUAGUGGAAGCGUCUGGAAAGGCGCGCGAUACAGGGUGACAGCCCCGUACACAAAAGCGCAUGUGCUGUGAGCUCGAUGAGUAGGGCGGGACACGUGGUAUCCUGUCUGAAUAUGGGGGGACCAUCCUCCAAGGCUAAAUACUCCUGACUGACCGAUAGUGAACCAGUACCGUGAGGGAAAGGCGAAAAGAACCCCGGCGAGGGGAGUGAAAAAGAACCUGAAACCGUGUACGUACAAGCAGUGGGAGCACAGGUUUACCUGUGUGACUGCGUACCUUUUGUAUAAUGGGUCAGCGACUUAUAUUCUGUAGCAAGGUUAACCGAAUAGGGGAGCCGGAGGGAAACCGAGUCUUAAUUGGGCGUUAAGUUGCAGGGUAUAGACCCGAAACCCGGUGAUCUAGCCAUGGGCAGGUUGAAGGUUGGGUAACACUAACUGGAGGACCGAACCGACUAAUGUUGAAAAAUUAGCGGAUGACCUGUGGCUGGGGGUGAAAGGCCAAUCAAACCGGGAGAUAGCUGGUUCUCCCCGAAAGCUAUUUAGGUAGCGCCUCGUGAAUUCAUCUCCGGGGGUAGAGCACUGUUUCGGCUAGGGGGCCAUCCCGGCUUACCAACCCGAUGCAAACUGCGAAUACCGGAGAAUGUUAUCACGGGAGACACACGGCGGGUGCUAACGUCCGUCGUGAAGAGGGAAACAACCCAGACCGCCAGCUAAGGUCCCAAAGUCAUGGUUAAGUGGGAAACGAUGUGGGAAGGCCCAGACAGCCAGGAUGUUGGCUUAGAAGCAGCCAUCAUUUAAAGAAAGCGUAAUAGCUCACUGGUCGAGUCGGCCUGCGCGGAAGAUGUAACGGGGCUAAACCAUGCACCGAAGCUGCGGCAGCGACACUGUGUGUUGUUGGGUAGGGGAGCGUUCUGUAAGCCUGUGAAGGUGGCCUGUGAGGGUUGCUGGAGGUAUCAGAAGUGCGAAUGCUGACAUAAGUAACGAUAAAGCGGGUGAAAAGCCCGCUCGCCGGAAGACCAAGGGUUCCUGUCCAACGUUAAUCGGGGCAGGGUGAGUCGACCCCUAAGGCGAGGCCGAAAGGCGUAGUCGAUGGGAAACAGGUUAAUAUUCCUGUACUUGGUGUUACUGCGAAGGGGGGACGGAGAAGGCUAUGUUGGCCGGGCGACGGUUGUCCCGGUUUAAGCGUGUAGGCUGGUUUUCCAGGCAAAUCCGGAAAAUCAAGGCUGAGGCGUGACGACGAGGCACUACGGUGCUGAAGCAACAAAUGCCCUGCUUCCAGGAAAAGCCUCUAAGCAUCAGGUAACAUCAAAUCGUACCCCAAACCGACACAGGUGGUCAGGUAGAGAAUACCAAGGCGCUUGAGAGAACUCGGGUGAAGGAACUAGGCAAAAUGGUGCCGUAACUUCGGGAGAAGGCACGCUGACACGUAGGUGAAGUGAUUUACUCAUGGAGCUGAAGUCAGUCGAAGAUACCAGCUGGCUGCAACUGUUUAUUAAAAACACAGCACUGUGCAAACACGAAAGUGGACGUAUACGGUGUGACGCCUGCCCGGUGCCGGAAGGUUAAUUGAUGGGGUCAGCGCAAGCGAAGCUCCUGAUCGAAGCCCCGGUAAACGGCGGCCGUAACUAUAACGGUCCUAAGGUAGCGAAAUUCCUUGUCGGGUAAGUUCCGACCUGCACGAAUGGCGUAAUGAUGGCCAGGCUGUCUCCACCCGAGACUCAGUGAAAUUGAACUCGCUGUGAAGAUGCAGUGUACCCGCGGCAAGACGGAAAGACCCCGUGAACCUUUACUAUAGCUUGACACUGAACAUUGAGCCUUGAUGUGUAG